AUGAAGCAGUUACCACGGCUCCAGGCAGGAACUCGGAGCCCAGGUCCCCGUGGGUCGUGGCUCUUUUCUGGAGGGUGUGCAGGACCCACCGUGGCUGUUUUCUGGACGGCAUGCAGGGGGUUGUGGCUGUUUUGUGUAGGGUGUGCAGGACCCACAGAGUUGAUGGCAUGGGUCAUGGCUGUUUUGUGUAGGGUGUGCAGGACCCACGGGUCCCCGUGGGUCGUGGCUGUUUUGUGUAGGGUGUGCAGGACCCACCGGUCCCCGUGGGUCGUGGCUGUUUUGUGGAGGGUGUGCAGGACCCACAGGCUUGAUGGCAGAAGGUCCUGUUUCUCCACUUGCCUCCGGGCCGAGUCACAUGACCAAGACGGGACUCACUGGCCUUUGCUGGUCUCUGAUUUUGUCAUCGGGACACAAAUGAGGGUUUCUACCUGGCAAAGUGCAGAGAUGUAGAGUCUGCCUUUCGGGCCAGGCACGGUGGCUCACACCUGUCAUCCCACCGUUUUGGGAGGCUGAGGCGGGCGGUCCAUCAUUUGAGGCCAGGAACUUGAGACCAGCCUGGCAAACAUGGUGAAACCCCAUCUCCACUAAAAACACUAAAAUCAGGCGGGUGUGAUGGUGCACGCUUAUAAUCCCAGCUACUUGGAAGGCGCAGCUGAAUUGCUUGAACCUGGGAGGCAGAGGUUGCUGUGAGCCGAGAUGGCGCCACCGCACUCCAGCCUGGGCGAGAGCAAGACUCCAACUCAAAAAACAGAUUUUUUUUUUUUAAACUACGGCUGGGAUUUGUGGAGAGCCCAGGAGAGCCAGCUGUGGAUCCCCAGGGCUGCGGUCCCUGUGGCCCUGCCGUGUGCUGGCACCACCAAGGCCCAACGUUCAGCCUGGUAGAGUCAACACAGCGUUUCUUGCCUCGCAAUGAAUGCGCGCAGGGAGCUCGAAGGAAGCUGGCGUGCCCGGCGGUGGGCACCCCUUGUGGUGGGAUCCUCACGGGUGAACCCACGGACACACAGCGGCCACUCUGGGGACCCCAGCCGACUCCACUGUUCACGCUGGAACGGGGGCUGGCGUGGCCCUCGGGAGCUACGGGAGGUGGACAGGAACGCAGGCCCUCAUGCCCGUUUCGGUCUCCCCAAGAUUCAGCCUGAAAAUACCCCUCCCCAAAGUGACGGUGUGGGAAGUGGGGGUCUCCGGGAGUGAUGAGGUGGUGAGGCCUCCUGGAGGGGAUCCCCGCCCUUGUAAAAGGAACUCCGGAGAGCUCCCUGGCCUCUUCCAUCGUGUGAGAACACACAGGGAGAAGGCGCCAUCUGGAAGCCAGGAACCAGGUACUCACCGGAGACCGAACCUGCCACGCCUUGGUUUUCUGGGACUUCCAGCCUUCAGAGCUAGGAGACACGUGUCUUAUUUACAACCGACCCAAGGUGUUACGGUCACACAAAUGGUCUCAGAGAAGGCACAGUUAAGUGCAGGUGCCCUGGGGACCUCCAGCAUUCACCACGGAGCCCGGCUACAUUUCCGCCAGCCUCGGUUUCUACCCCCCUCCUCUUCCCAGCUGUGACCUUGUCCUCUGUGUCCCGGGGCUGCUGGGGAGGCGGCGGCACCGCACGCCAGGAACGUGGGCCGGCCACAGGGGCAGAGCGUGGCCCCACCUGCGUCCCAUGGGCCCAGCCCCCAUCUGCAGACCCCAGGCUGCCCCGUGGAGAGGUGCGGUCAGGCAGGAGGCCCUCUGUGUCCUCGGUUUAUUGUUUUGCAGCAGGAUGCCCAACACAGAACAUACUUGCUAGUACUCGGCUGUGCAAAAACAGGGGCUAGCGCUGAAGUACAAAUGGGAAACAUGAUUCUUUCGUUUUAAAUAAAUACUUAAAACACGACUCGGGUCCUACAAGCGUCUGGACUCUAGGUCUCAGUGUUGGAGUGCCUCGCCCAUGGGCCCGCGGGGACGCCAUGGUUCCCUCCCACCCCGUGAUCAAGACAUGGAAUCCGGGGCUGACGAAUGGAUCGCGUCGCGCCCCUUCUCUACAGCCUUCCCCGGCCGCCGCCUACGGGCAGGGUCCGGCUGGGAAAAAGACAAAUGGAAUUUCUCGAAGGUUGAUGGUCCGCACGGUUGAGGAUUCUACGUGGUUCUCUUGGUUCCCUUGGUGUGUGUGGGGAGGAGGCCGCGGCCCUUAGAUCACCUUCUUGAGCUCGUCGUACAGGACCAGCACGAAGGCGCCCCCCAUGCCCCGAAGGACGUUGGACCAGGCACCCUUGAAGAAGGCCUUGCCCCCCUCGUCUCUGAAGAUCUUCCUCCAGCAGUCGACGGUGCCCGUGUACAUGAUGUCAGCUGCAACGACAGGGAGACGGUGAGGGCCUCGCCGCCGAGCUCUUCGAGACACGGACGCCACCUGCAGCCCUGAAGACGUUUUACAGAAGUAACACCCCGGACGCCUGAGCCACAGUUCUGAUUACAGGAGGGAAACCCGAGGCUCUGGUGAGCCCGUGCCCUGAGGUCACGCCGUCCUCCUAAGCCACUGUGUCUAGGAGGGCUGGACACAGGACUUCAGGCCCCGCCCUGGGCGUCCCCCGUCUCCACCUCUGGCGUCCACGCAGAGAGGGCAGGAUCGAGGGUGUGGAUGCGGGCGGAGGUUCUAGGAGGUGGGGAUGUAGCAAUUGCUGCCUGCACCACGAAACCCCAAGAUCAGAAGCCCACAUCAUUCAGGAAAAUCCUUCCACACAGCCGGUUACUUUGACACACUGCUGCCUCCCACGCUGGGGGGGAAGUGCCUCCUCUGACGGUUCCUGGCCUCCCACCGGCCCAGGCCAAGGAGCUCCUGGUUCCCCUUCCCACUAGCAAGGGUCUCCCGCCUCCCGAGCCCGCGCGGCUACCUCCU
rnacentral:lncRNA from 10 species